GGAGAUGGGCAGCUGCAAAGGCUGUCGCCCGCUGGAAGCGGACGUUAGAGGCGCGCAGUGCGUUCCCCCGCAUCCUUGCGCGGCGGAUUAUGUCAGCGGGCCCGCAGCCCGGCAAUCGGGAGGUUCCCUAUAUCGGGUGGUCCAGCAGGCAACCGCUUCCUGAUGGCAGUUGCCUGCUUUACAAAGCACCGCAGUCGGAGAUUCCGCAGAAAGCCCAGCGUCGGCUAGCGUGGCGUCAUGUCAUGGAUGCGCUACGGAGGGAGCCCCGCACUGGUGGGG
rnacentral:sRNA from 1 species